CAGUCCGGGAGAACGGCAGGAAACCGGGAGGCCGCUCCGGCUGCAGCGCGGGACGCCGCGCGCACACCCGAAACUGAUUGGCGGACAACACGGAGGUGGCGAAAGUGUGGGACUCCUGCCUUCCAAGCAGUUUCCUGUUCCACAUGAAUAAUCCCAUCUGGAGUUUCCUGCAGAAACUUCGUGUUCAUCUACUAGCCUGACACCUGGCCUGCAGCACUCUCACGCACCUGCAUUCACCCACAGCUAUGUGGACCCCACAUAAUGGACUAAGGACUAUAAUUAGCCUAAUGCUACACCGGACCCAGUUCUACCAUGGAACGGAAACUCUGGACACUGGCUUCACUCUUAGCUCUUCUGAAUCCUCAGCUGCCCAUCUUCCAGGAUGGUUUAAGGGUAAUGGGACUUCGCAAACCUAGAGAUGUAAUUCCAUGCAAAUAAAGAUUACUCAUCCUCCCAUGCAAGUCUCAGAAAAUAUUCCUUCUCGAGAUAUCAUGAGGACCCAACCCCCAGCAUUCAGUGGGGAGAGGGAUACUCAGCUUCCACCAAGAACAUGAAAACAAUGUUUGACAGGAAAAGAAAUUGUGUCUCAUUUCUUGGGCACUCUGAGUCUCUUCAUGGGCCAAAUUCUCUCUUUCCACUCUAAGGUUUUGGGGAGAUCAGAUUUGUGCCCUUCAUUAGCCAACCAGUGGGGUCUCAGUGGAGAAGGAGAUUGGCUAUGAAAAUGCUGAGCCAUUGGUUUGACUGCUGAGCGUCACAGCCUGGCUGUACAGGGGUGGCUUUUAUCCACCUCCUCCAAAUGUUUGCUUCUUGCCUGAUUGAUGAGAGAUCCUAAGGCUCAUGGCUGGUGCUCACUGAGCUGUCAGCCUGCUUGGCUGUGUAGGCAGGCAAUACGGAAGUGGGGAAUGGAACUACUAGCAUUAAUUACCUGAUGGAGAGCCAGCCUUCAUGUUUUUCUGACAUGUAUUGAGUGGAUAAUAGAGAAAAUCUCAAUAGGAAUGAAAUAAAAAUAAUUUUCCAAAAUUAAUGAAAGCUCACAUGUCUGCAUUUUACCAUCACUUUGAGGGCAUCCUUAGAAAAUUAAAUUUAACAGAAUAAAACUGAGUAUGGACUGUAUAGUGGGGGUAUUGUAUCAAUGUUAAAAUUUUCUGAAUUUGAUAUUUGCCUUGUGGUUGUUGGAGAAUAUCCUUGACCAUAGAAGAUAUAUACUAAAGUUUACAG